rnacentral:rRNA from 1 species
AGAGACAGCAGUAGCCGCGGUAAUACGGAGGGUGCAAGCGUUAAUCGGAAUUACUGGGCGUAAAGCGUGCGUAGGCGGUUUGUUAAGUCUGCUGUGAAAUCCCCGGGCUCAACCUGGGAAUGGCAGUGGAUACUGGCAAGCUAGAGUGUGUCAGAGGAUGGUGGAAUUCCCGGUGUAGCGGUGAAAUGCGUAGAGAUCGGGAGGAACAUCAGUGGCGAAGGCGGCCAUCUGGGACAACACUGACGCUGAGGCACGAAAGCGUGGGGAGCAAACAGGAUUAGAUACCCGCGUAGUCCCUGUCUCUUAUAC